rnacentral:rRNA from 1 species
UGGGGAAUCUUGCGCAAUGGGCGAAAGCCUGACGCAGCCAUGCCGCGUGAACGAUGAAGGCCUUAGGGUUGUAAAGUUCUUUUGCCCGUGACGAUGAUGACGGUAACGGGAGAAUAAGCUCCGGCUAACUUCGUGCCAGCAGCCGCGGUAAUACGAAGGGGGCUAGCGUUGUUCGGAAUUACUGGGCGUAAAGCGCGCGCAGGCGGUUUUGUAAGUUGGGGGUGAAAUCCCCGGGCUCAACCCGGGAAUUGCCUUCAAGACUGCAAAGCUAGAGGACGAGAGAGGUGAGUGGAAUUCCCAGUGUAGAGGUGAAAUUCGUAGAUAUUGGGAAGAACACCGGUGGCGAAGGCGGCUCACUGGCUCGUUUCUGACGCUGAGGCGCGAAAGCGUGGGGAGCAAACA